CCGGCGGGUGGGGGGCUUCCUGCAGGCCCCGGGGGGCGCCGGCGGCCGGCGCGGGCUCGGCGGGCCGGGCAGGGGCGAGGGGCGCCGGGUCUUGCCCCAGAAGUUGCUGGCACAUCCACGCCUGAAAUGCGGCGCUCAGUCCUGGUCAGGAACCCAGGCCACAAAGGCCCGAGACCCGUUUAUGAAGAGCUCGACUCUGACUCCGAGGACCAAGACCCCAAUCCUGAAGAUCUGGACCCGGUUUCUGAAGCCCCAGAGCCUGACCCUGAAGACCUCAACACUGUCGCGGAAGACGUGGACCCCAGCUAUGAAGAUCUGGAGCCCGUCUCGGAGGAUCUGGACCCCGACGCCGAAGCUCCGGGCUCGGAACCCCAAGAUCCCGACCCCAUGUCUUCGAGUUUCGACCUCGAUCCAGAUGUGAUUGGCCCCGUACCCCUGAUUCUCGAUCCUAACAGCGACACCCUCAGCCCCGGCGAUCCAAACGUGGACCCCAUCUCCUCUGGCCUCACUGCCACCCCCCAGGUCUUGGCCACCAGCCCCACGGUGCUCCCCGCCCCCGCCAGCCCGCCCCGGGGCCCUUCUCCUGCCCGGAUUGCGGGCGAGCCUUCCGCCGCAGCUCCGGGCUGAGCCAGCAUCGCCGUACCGCUGCCCCGACUGCGGGAAGUCCUUCAGCCACGGUGCCACCCUGGCCCAGCACCGUGGCAUCCACACCGGGGCGCGGCCGUACCAGUGCGCGGCCUGCGGCAAGGCCUUCGGCUGGCGCUCCACGCUGCUGAAACAUCGCAGCAGCCACAGCGGGGAGAAGCCGCACCACUGCCCGGUGUGUGGCAAGGCCUUUGGGCACGGCUCGCUCCUGGCACAGCACCUGCGCACGCACGGCGGCCCGCGGCCCCACAAGUGCCAGGUGUGCGCCAAGGGCUUCGGCCAGGGCUCUGCGCUGCUCAAACACCUGCGCACGCACACGGGCGAGCGGCCCUACCCGUGUCCGCAGUGCGGCAAGGCCUUCGGGCAGAGCUCGGCUCUGCUGCAGCACCAGCGCACACACACGGCCGAGCGCCCCUACGGCUGCCCCCACUGCGGCAAAGCCUUCGGGCAGAGCUCCAGCUUGCACCACCACCUGCGCAUCCACACGGGCGGCUAGCGGCCCUACGCCUGCCCGCACUGCUCCAAGGCCUUCGGGUAGAGCUCAGUGCUGCUCCAGCACCUGCGCGUGCAUUCGGGCGAGCGUCCCUAUCGCUGUCAGCUCUGCAGGAAGGCCUUUGGCCAGGCCUCCAGCCUCACCAAGCACAAACGGGUGCAUGAGGGUGCGGCCUGGGCCUCGGGCCUGGCCUAAGCCCUGCAUCCAUGAUGAGGGGCAGGUCCCCCUCCUGGGUCCUGAUGCUGUUUCUGUGCUCGGCUCUGGCUUGGGCCUCAGCCCCGGCACCAGCUCUGGCUGCAACCCUGACCCUGGCUCUAGGCCGGGCACUCUGCCGGAUCCCAGCUCCAAACCCCUCCCCGGCUCCAGAUCCAACCCCAGCCCUACUCCUGUGGAAUCUUCUGACCCGAAGGCUGGGCACGACGCUGGUCCCAACCUUGUGCCCAGCCCAGACCCUGAUCCUGUGCCCAGUCCAGACCCUGAUCCUGUGCCCAGCCCUGAUCCCAACCCUGUGUCCUGCCCUGACCCCUGCUCUCCCACUCGUGGCACUGUCAGCCCAGCCCUCCCUACCGGCAAGAGUCCAGAGUGGGUACAGGAGCAAGGGGCACUGCUGGGGCCUGAUGGCUGAAGGAGACGCCGGCAUCCUCGGGGACCUGGGGAAGUUGUGUGUUGUGCAGUUAGUAAAAUCCUCCCACUGCC